UAGACCCUGCAAGUUGUCCUCUGACUUG
rnacentral:piRNA from 1 species